rnacentral:lncRNA from 1 species
UUAACUGAAAUUGUUUAACGAAUUCGCGCUUAGUUUGCAAUAGAAUAUCCUAUAAAGAAGGCUGUGUAUUUUGACGACAAAACCGAUAAAGGUGUGCCUCUCACCCACGAUUUGGCUCUAGAGGUGUUAAAUGAUGGUAACUAGUCCGAAAGAGAAGAUUUAGAUGGCGAAAAUGAUGUUGCUUUUGACGUUCAGAUGUUUAAAAAUAACACCGAUGACAAGGAUACUGAAGAAACUGUAUUAGAUGAAGAACCUGUAUUGGAUGAAGAACCUGUUCCUUCAACGAGCUCUUCUUCAGCAAAGAGGCAAUGGAAAGACAUGACAUUUCAGCAAAAAAUGUUUGUUCUAUUUUAGUUAGUAUGUAAUAGCAUAUUAAACAAUUAUAAAAAUAAUUUUUAUUUGGCC